CUAACGAGGCGAACCGGGGGAACUGAAACAUCUAAGUACCCCGAGGAAAAGAAAUCAACCGAGAUUCCCCCAGUAGCGGCGAGCGAACGGGGAGGAGCCCAGAGCCUGAAUCAGCUUGUGUGUUAGUGGAAGCGUCUGGAAAGUCGCACGGUACAGGGUGAAAGUCCCGUACACGAAAACGCACAGGCUGUGAGCUCGAUGAGUAGGGCGGGACACGUGGUAUCCUGUCUGAAUAUGGGGGGACCAUCCUCCAAGGCUAAAUACUCCUGACUGACCGAUAGUGAACCAGUACCGUGAGGGAAAGGCGAAAAGAACCCCGGCGAGGGGAGUGAAAAAGAACCUGAAACCGUGUACGUACAAGCAGUGGGAGCCUCUUUUAUGGGGUGACUGCGUACCUUUUGUAUAAUGGGUCAGCGACUUAUAUUCUGUAGCAAGGUUAACCGUAUAGGGGAGCCGAAGGGAAACCGAGUCUUAACUGGGCGUUAAGUUGCAGGGUAUAGACCCGAAACCCGGUGAUCUAGCCAUGGGCAGGUUGAAGGUUGGGUAACACUAACUGGAGGACCGAACCGACUAAUGUUGAAAAAUUAGCGGAUGACCUGUGGCUGGGGGUGAAAGGCCAAUCAAACCGGGAGAUAGCUGGUUCUCCCCGAAAGCU
rnacentral:rRNA from 1 species